GACAGAUCUGAGACGUCAGUGGGGUUUCUCCUGAGCGUUGUGUGUGUUUGUGCAGGAUCGUGAUCUACUUCCACAGUCAGGUGGUGGAUGGUCAGCGGAAGAUCAUCGAACUGCUUCAGGAGCAGAUUGAGAAUGAGGGCCAGGAUAAAAAGUUCCUGAUCACACGACUGCAGGACAUCCAUGAGCGGAAACGAGGAGUGACGCCACGCCGCGUGAAAGGAGCCAGCGAGGAUUCCAGUUAUUCCUGACGCUCUUCUUGAACUGAUGGAGCCAUAGAAACGACCUGAACAGAAACUCUGAUGAAUGUGGAUCUCUCACAGAAACCACUAGAGUGUGUCAUGAAGCUUCAUGAUCCUGCUCAGAUCAGACGGGUGUUUCUAGAAUCCAGAAUCACACUCUUCACAGGAAGACCAGAGUAAAUAAACACUCGCACUGCUAGCUUUGGUUAGUUGGAUUCUGGUUAAAUCUGUUGAAAUAUUACCUUUUAUACUGGUGAUGGUGUUUUCAUGCAGUCUCUGAUAUUGAGACGCUUUUAAUUUUACUGUGAAAUAUUUCAUACUCACUGUUCCUCAGCCCUCAGUAACUGGACCUUCUGUUUAAUGUACUGUGAUAUUGUUUUCACAAAAACAGUUUUAA